rnacentral:rRNA from 1 species
UACGGGGGGGGCAAGCGUUGUUCGGAAUUACUGGGCGUAAAGGGCUCGUAGGCGGCCAACUAAGUCGGAUGUGAAAUCCCCAGGCUCAACUUGGGAAUGCAUCCCGAUACUGGAUGGCUUGAAUCCGGGAGAGGGAUGCAGAAUUCCAGGUGUAGCGGUGAAAUGCGUAGAUAUCUGGAGGAAUACCGGUGGCGAAGGCGGCAUCCUGGACCGGCAUUGACGCUGAUGAGCGAAAAGCUAGGGGAGCAAACGGGG